UACGUAGGGUGCGAGCGUUGUCCGGAAUUAUUGGGCGUAAAGGGCUCGUAGGCGGUUUGUCGCGUCGGGAGUGAAAACCUCGGGCUUAACUCGGGGCUUGCUUUCGAUACGGGCAGACUAGAGGUAUGCAGGGGAGAACGGGAUUCCUGGUGUAGCGGUGAAAUGCGCAGAUAUCAGGAGGAACACCGGUGGCGAAGGCGGUUCUCUGGGCCGAUACUGACGCUGAGGAGCGAAAGCGUGGGGAGCGAACAGG
rnacentral:rRNA from 1 species